GGCUCAAGAUAGUUUGUAGAUAGCUGAUAUCGUCGAAGGCUACAGUUGGCUUUACUUCCUCAAAAACUGUAGGUUCACAGCCUUCAUUACUUUUAGUCAUUUAGGGGCCCACGUGUCAUUGUAAAUUUAAUUACAUACCUUGGCUAUCUGUAUUACAGUAUGUAUGAGUUUAUUUCGCUUUUACGCUACAAAAAUUUCUUACAGAUAACUCUAUAAAAAUUGUUUUAUAAGAAAAUGGAAUAUUUUAUUAAAUAUUUUUAUUAUAUUCAAAUAGUCAUAAUUUCACUUUAAAUGAAUGUUUUAGACAUCUAAACUUAUUUUUUAUUAUGAAAUAUGUGUUUUGCACUCGCAUACUACACUAUUAGCUGGUUUCAAAAUUUUUGAAGAAAAUGACCAAAAUACCACUAAGAAACGAAAUUUUUUUUUAUUGUUUUGGUUGGGAAAUAGCUUAUAAUCUUUUAAAAUAUGAUAUUAGUAACUGUUGCUCACAAGGAGGUGAGAAAACUGAUAUUAAAGACUUGCAAGGUUUUGGUUGGCAUUCUGAGUAAUGAAUGUCUAUCGGGACAUCAAGACGGUUGUCACGAGCUCGAGGAGAGUACCGGGUCGUGACAAUUAUAUUGGUAUCAGAGCACAAAGCUUUUGGUUUUAAAGUUAAUUUAAAAAUUUACAGUGUCAGUGUGGCCCCAAGUUAAGUUAGGUUAGGUUGAGUAGAAUGCAUGCAUUUGUAUAUAUAAAUCUACCCGUUCUUGUGAUGCGUAAAUAAUUAAGAAAUUACUGCUUGAUUGCGUAUAGGUUUUGAGGUGCGCUGGUUGCACACACCAUGUUUAGGAGAGACGGUAGUCCCGAUGCCUCUCAUAGUAUUAGCGAGGGAUCACUAGAUUCUACUACUAGGAGCCGAUGGCAACCCGAACCAAGUAGUGUAGGAAGUGCCUCGCCUAGAAUUCCUAUUAAGUGGAUUCCACUGGAUUUGGAGAUGAGGGUUCGCGAAAAAGAAAGCGUCGACCCUUGUAAGACCAUUAAAAGUGCUGAUAGUAAUGACAUUAAUAUAAGCAUGAGAAAUUCCCUUUUUAAAGAGUCUAAGGAAUACGUUGAGGAAAGGGAGAAAAUAAUGAUAGCCAAAGGAAUUAUCAUCCUAGGAAGGUAUCUGUACCCGUUGUUCGACACUUUCCUCCAGGCUGUGGGAGUAAUGUAAGGGAACAACAAGAAAAGAAUAAGGAGAAAGUAACUGUUGUAAAUUACCCCUUUAGGAAGGUGACUGUUGUACGACAUUUUCCUCUCGGUUGUGGAAGAAAUGCUACACCUGUGAGUUAUGAGGAAUGUAGGAGAAUACAGCAAGCUUGGAUUGAGGAACAAAGGAGAAAAUCUCAAGAGGAAAAGGAGGAUCCGGAAGAGGAUCCUAAAGAUACUUAAUACCUUCGUUGAAGUUUGUAUCAUCAUAAAUCUAGGCAAGUGUCGUUUAAGGGAAAAUGUAAUAGUUAUUUGUACAAAGAAGUUAAUAGUUUGGCUUUUAAAGUGUAUGACUAGAAUGUCUUAUAAAGUAGUUGUUUAAGUGUCUAGAUGUAUAUGGGAAUCUUUUGGUAGGACAGAAGUGGAUUAACAUUAUGGCUAUUAAGGAAAGAUAUUUAUCUUAGUGGCAAGGUUGAUCAUCUUAGAUAAUUAUUGAAGACUGAUGUGGAAAGUCAUUAUUGAUUCAAGCAAUUACCCUAAUUAACAAUGAAUAUAUUUUGCAGUACUAAGAAAUGGAUACAGAUUAACGUGAUGAACUUUUGGGGUGAUAACCCUAGAUUUUGAUGAGGUAUAAAAGACCAUUUGAAUUGAUGAUGUUUGUUGAAAAUUUUUACUUAUCGUAGUAUGUGAGUUUUUGAUAUGAUUCUGAAUGCAAAGCUAAAUAAAUAAAAUUUUGGUUUAUGGGACAAAUUGUAUUAGAGAAGAUGAUUCCCAAGCAAACACAUUGAACUAGGGGACUAUGUUAUAAUAAGCGAGUUCAACGGAUUGUAAUUGCACAGGAUAUUGGGAGACAGUGUGGUAAGACUAACAAUCAAUCAUGGAGAUGUGAAAUUGGGAAUAUUAAUUGUAGUUACAAUUCGAAAAGAUAUGGAAGGGAUUAAUGAGGCUCUAGACAACACUUUGAGUGAUUAAUGUGAUUAAGUUAAGGAUCAUAACGUUAAGUAUGGAGGGAAUUAUAAAAUGAUAACAUAAUAUUAUGAAAUGAUAAUCUGACACAAAUAUGGUCCAUUGGAGAUAAAUGAUGGAACUUGAGAAAGAUAAAUUCUUGAUUAAUAAGGAUUGCGAGUGUAAAGUGUGGAGAAAGACAAACUGUUUUUGUAGUUAUUAUACUGAAAGUCAAUAAAAUUAUUGGAGUACAAGACAAAGAAGAUAAUUAGAUAUGGACGACAAUAAAUUUGAGGAAUGUUGUGGAUAGUGAACAAAUUAUGUUUGGGGUGGUAUAUGUAUCCUGAAUUCAUUACACCAUAUGGAAAGGAUGUUUUAAGGUUGGAUUUCAUGAAUGAUGAAGAAAGUCAAAAUAUGACAUGAGUUGAAAGUAUUAACUUGGCAUAGUGUGUAUGACAAGCAAAUAGAAGGUACCUAUACUUAUGGAAUUCAUGAUAUAUGCCUAGAAGGGAAACCCAAUGGUUGAGGAUGAUUGAUGUAGUGACCUUGAAUGCAGAUAAAUAACUUUGAUGAGGGAAUUUGUAGUAAUCACAGUGCUGUUGCACUAACUGUUCAACUCUGCAAUGCUACGAAUAUCUCAUGUCUAUGAUGCAUGAGCAAGAUGGGAGUGACAUGAUAAUGAGCUUACAAGUUGAAUUUCAGUCAUUGGUCAUUGAGCUUUGUUAUUUGGGAGUUUGAAAUGUUCUAGGGAAUGUUAACCUGAAUGAAUUGAAAAGUUUCUUUAUCUCCUUGUAUAUGGGCAUAUAAUUAAAAGAGAAAUUGAAAGAUUCUUAAGAUGGCUACAUUGAGAUAAGAUACCAAGUGGUGGAAGUGUGAAUGAAGGAUUACAAGGGCGAUAUAGCAAAUGAGAUUAUAUAGAAUAUUGUUACGAGAAUUUACAAAUCUUGUCUUGACUUUGUUGAAAGGAAAGGAUUAGUGACAACACAAGUAAACCACGUGGUAUGCUAGAAACCCUUGGAGAUAAGUUGAAGCAUGAGUAAUUAAGCAUGCAUUGAAAUAUUUUGGGUGAGCAAGUGCAUGCCUUUAUGGAAAUGAUAUAUUUAGAGUAUGAAAGAGCAAAUAAGUGAUUAAGUGUUUCAAGAAUGUUUAAACACCUUUGAGAAAGAAUUAUAAAUUAUACGAGAUGAGUAUAAGAUGUGUGAUUUUGAAACUUGCUAAGGAGCCAAACGGCUAAGUCACGAGUUAAGUGAUCACCUGCUGUGAGACAUAAGUUUAAGAUAGAUAUCCCCAAGGAAAUACUCAAGAUAAGUUCUGCAAUGGAUCUCGUGAAAGCAAACAUUAAGUUAUAUGAUCAUAAAAAGGAAGCCAUAAGCUGAGAGUGAUACUUAUAUUGACAUUGAAAAGUACUUGAGGAGGACAUAGUUUCAAGUUUUACAAUUUCAAGUACAAUCUGUAAAUUGGCUAAAGGAGAAUGAUGUUAUGUUCAUAUGAAAGAGUGGAACAAAAGAUGAUUGAAGUUAACCUUGAUAAUGAAGUCAAAUAAUGAAACUUUCCUAAUAUAUUAUGGAAAUUGGAAUUCGAAAAUGUUUAAGGCAUACAUGAUUCAAAUGAGUCUGAGUUUUAAGUGACAAAUCAAUAUCGGAAUGCAAGAAAGAUACAAGGUAAUGUAGAGGCAUGAAGGAUAAUCAAGGAAAAAGGAUGACUCUUAGGAAUUGUGAUAUUGCAUAAGAUGCAAUGAUCAAGUUAAGAUAAAUCUUUGAGGCAUCAAUGGGAUUAUAAAGCAUACACACAUAAUAGAUUAUAGUUCAAUGGAGAUGACAUUAUGAUGCAAUGAUAUAUAGUACAAGGAAACUUAAGCAUAUAAUUGGAAAUGAUAAGAAAAGAGUAUAAGUAUGUAAAUGAUGUGGAACUAUGCACAGGCAUGAUGAGAAUUUGUAUGAAUUUUGAAGAUUAUUCUAUUGAAUCUUGGUUAUGGAUGGGAAUGAACAAAGAGAAAUUAGUCUGAAGGCAUUUGAAAACAUAGACCCAUAUACAUAAUGAGGAAUAUGGACAUUUGAAUGUGCGUGUAUACGUAUGUGUGGAGUUAGUGAUGUACCCAAUUAAAAUGAAGAAUGGUUUUAGUGGUUCGAGAUUUGAACUCAUUAUAUUUGAUGAGUUGUAUAGAUAAUGUAACGAUCAAGAAUCUUAUCAGAAGUUGAUUUAUGGCAACCUAAGGAAUUUUGGGGAAAUAGUUAAGGGAAUGUAAUCUAUAGUGCGAUUAAGCCAUAUGAGAUGGAUUAAUAAGAUUAAGAAGAUUGAAAUUUCCUAAAUGCAAGGUAAACAUAAAGUAUGUGGAAAUAAUUGAAGCCAUUAAUCUUCCCUAACGUUGAGGAUAUGUAUAGGAAUGAGUAUGGCAUGUUAAUGAUGCCGUAAACUACACAAUAGUGUAUGAGGAUAGGAUGAAUGAAUGAAAGUCGAGAAGUUUGAUAUGGAAUGAAGUAAUAAGAUAGUGAUUGGUAUACCUAAAUAAGUAUAAAAUGUGAUCGAAAUUGGUAUGAUUGAGAUGGAGUUAUGGUUCAAGUUUAAUGAUAGUAACAGAAACAUGCUUGGUGUCUCAAUAUAAGAGAUCAUAAUUGUGAAGGUUACUGUUGAUUUGAUUUUAAAGGAUAAUAAUAGACAUAAGUGAAGUACUCGAUUUGAAUUGAAGGUAAAUGAGGUGAACAAAUCAAAAUUCCCUAUAAAGGGGAGGACAUAAGAAGUCGAGCAUUAUAUGGGAAAAUAAUACCCCCACUUUUUCUCUGAGUUCUAUAAAUGAAAUUUUGAGGUCAAAAUUUUAUUUUAAGGGGGGUAGUGUUGUCAAGCCCGGCUCUACAAUAUGUUUAUUAUGCCAUUCUUACAUAAGAAUGUAUGUUUGCUUACUUGGGUACCUCGAAAAUCGUUAAAGGAUGGCAAUGUACCAAAUGGUACAAUUAAGUUGAAUUAAGCCUCGAACUAAUCCAAAUAGAGAUUUUAAGAUGAAAUUGAGAAUUUUAAAACCCCAGAAUGACUUAAAAUGGUGAUUCAGAGUUCGAGAACCGAUUUGGAGUCAAAUUGGAAUUUUCAUGACCUAGGGGUAAAAUGUUCAUUUUGCUACCCAAGGUUAAGAUGUGAGUGUUGGAUAAAAUUUUUGACUAAGAUUGAUCAUUUGGAGUAUAAUUUGAGUUUGAGAAGUGAAAAAUUUUAAUUUCGGCCUUUUUUCGAGGAUAAAGGCAAAAUAGUCAUUUUGCCACCCCAAGGGCAAAAUUGUAAUUUUACACCACCCAACACUUGUCAUGCCAUGGAUUUCAGCCAUUAACAUUUUAUAUUGUGGAUAAUUGAAAUAUUUUAUGUGGUGGAGAAAGAAAGCUUAAUAGUUAAGAAUUUAAAAAUGGACCAAUGGUAAGGUGACAAGUGUCAAGCUUUUAUUUCUUUAUUAUUUUCCUUAUAAAUUAGCACAAAACCAGCCCAUUUCUCUUCAUUAUGGUUGGCCUCACCAAGGAGAAGCAAGAAAAAGGAAGAACAAAACCCUAGGUGGAAAAAUUCAAGGGAAAAGUGUGGAAAUUCAAGGAAACAAGUGAAAAAAAAAGUAAGAUUUUUCAAUUUAAGCUUGAGAUCUCUCUUUCUUAAGCAUUUUUUUCUUAUUUUCCAUGGUUGAAUCACAUGAAAUCAUGAUAAAUCCCUUGCUGGCCGAACACUUAGAGGGAGGUUUUGAUGCUUGAUUUGGUUAGAUUUCAAUGUAUUUUAGUGUUUUUAGUUAGUUAGUGAUGUGGAGCAUGAAAGCCAAUAAGAAAAAUUCACUUCCUCCCAUCACCCAUCAUUGGCCGAAUCUUCCAUGUAGAGUGUGUAUGGUGGAUUUGAUUUUAUUUCAAGUAAAUUGGUUAGGAAAUGAUGAAUUACGGUGAGAAAAUCAAGUAGGAAAAAUCAUAGUGUUGAUGCACACACCAUGGCCGAAAUUCCCAAGAGAAAAUGUGAAGAUGAUUUUGCUAAAUUUUAUGCUAUUUGACUUGUGUUUGAUGGUUUGGAGAAUUGAAAGAAAAAUGGAGUUAAUUGGAGUUGAAUUUGACAUAUUGGCCAAUUAAUCGAGUGAUAGAUCGAAUUAGGCCAAUACCAUUUUAUUUAGGUACACAAUUGAAUUUGUGUAGAACACUGUGUUUGGACGAUAAUCCGAACAAUUUGCAUUUCAUUUCAUGCAUCCAUAUAGUUUUAUAACGGUUUAGCACCAAUGUGGUAAAUUGCUUGAUUGUGCAUUAUGUUUAGAUGGUGAAUCCUCCGAUAAUGGUAAAGAAAUAGUACCCGAGGAUCAAGAAUCGGAGUUAUCGGAACUCGAUUUCCAUUACAGUAAGUAACCUUAUUAUCAUCUUAAUUAUCUAAAGUAGUUUUUAUCCGUUUUUGUGAAUUGAUAGAAAAAUGAGUUUAAAUGGUAAAUCUUUAUGUUUUAUAAGCAAAAUGUGAUUAAAGGAAAUGAUUUUAUAAAAUUGUCUUGAAAUUGAAAGAUGGUUUUGAAAAUGUAGUAAUUGGAGACUAAUUGCUGUGUUAUAAAUCAUGGUUUGAAUUGAAUGGCUUAUGAUAAUAUUGGCAUGAAUGGUUGAAUUAGUAAAUGUGCUAAAAAUGUAUAAACUUUUGUUUGCCUUGAUAGGCUGGAUAAUGAUAAAACUGCCAUGUCAUGCUGUUGAAUUUUUAUUGUAUUAUGGGUUUAGCUUGCUGCAGUGGGCGGGUUCUAUGGACCAGCCUUUUUGAGGGGCACGAAAUCCCGUUAUAUCUUACCUCGGUUGGGGAGGCGCAUAGGGUAACUCCCGAGGUAAAACUUUAGAGUUCACUUCACGUUGAACCACCACGUGAGGGUGAACUCAGCCAAUGCCAAGAAACGGCUAUGUUUUCAAAAUAAAAACAUGAUUCAUGCGUACAUGACUUUUAACAGCCUUGGCGGACUCGGUUAGGAUAGCCCCAGGCCAAGGUAUCCCUGACAACUGAGUAUGAGAAUGAUUUUGGCACGAGCCAAGCUUUUCAGGAAAUCAUAAGCCUCAUUGUUUAUUUGAGUGAAAUAAAUCUAUUUUAUUCUAUUAAAAUGAGUUCGAAAUGCUGUGAAUCAUCUUUAUGCUAAUCUAUUUUAUCUGUCUUCAUUUACUCAGCUUUAGAUAUUUUAGAUGGUAUUUGUUUACUCACUGGGAUUAUAUAAUCUCACCACCCUUCUUUUCACUCAUUUCAGGCUCAGGAUAGUUUGUAGAUAGCUGAUAUCGACGAAGGCUACAGUUGGCUUUACUUCCUCAAAAACUGUAGGUUCACAACCUUCAUUACUUUUAGUCAUUUGGGGGCCCAUGUGUCAUUGUAAACUUAAUUACAUACCUUGACUAUCUGUAUUACAGUAUGUAUGAAUUUAUUUCGCUUUUACACUACAAAAAUUCCUUAC
rnacentral:lncRNA from 1 species